rnacentral:rRNA from 1 species
GACAGAGGCCCCAAGCGUUAGGCGGAAUCACUGGGCUUAAAGCGUGUGUAGGCGGACGCCUAAGUGUCUUGUGAAAUCCCACGGCUCACCCGUGGAACUGCUGGGCAUACUGGGCGUCUUGGGCCAACUAGGGGCAGCCGGAACAAGCGGUGGAGCGGUGAAAUGCGUAGAUACUCGCUUGGAACGCCGAAGGUGAAAACAGGCUGCUGGGGUUGCGCCGACGCUGAGACACGAAAGCCAGGGGAGCAAACGGG